AGAGUUUGUUCCUGGCUCAGGAUGAACGCUGGCGGCGUGCUUAACACAUGCAAGUCGAACGGGCUCAUAUUGAAACCUAGUGAUUUAUGAGUUAGAGGCGGACGGGUGAGUAACGCGUGGAAAACCUGCCGUAUACUGGGGGAUAACACUUAGAAAUAGGUGCUAAUACCGCAUAAGCGCACAGCUUCGCAUGAAGUGGUGUGAAAAACUCUGGUGGUAUACGAUGGUUCCGCGUCUGAUUAGCUUGUUGGUGGGGUAAUGGCUCACCAAGGCGACGAUCAGUAGCCGGCCUGAGAGGGUGAACGGCCACAUUGGGACUGAGACACGGCCCAAACUCCUACGGGAGGCAGCAGUGGGGAAUAUUGCACAAUGGGGGAAACCCUGAUGCAGCGACGCCGCGUGAGUGAAGAAGUAUUUCGGUAUGUAAAGCUCUAUCAGCAGGGAAGAAAUAGCGACCUUUGGGUCGCCAGACGGUACCUGAUUAAGAAGCCCCGGCUAACUACGUGCCAGCAGCCGCGGUAAUACGUAGGGGGCAAGCGUUAUCCGGAUUUACUGGGUGUAAAGGGAGCGUAGACGGCAGCACAAGUCUGAAGUGAAAUGCCGGGGCUUAAUCCCGGAACUGCUUUGGAAACUGUGCAGCUAGAGUGCAGGAGAGGUAAGUGGAAUUCCUAGUGUAGCGGUGAAAUGCGUAGAUAUUAGGAGGAACACCAGUGGCGAAGGCGGCUUACUGGACUGUAACUGACGUUGAGGCUCGAAAGCGUGGGGAGCAAACAAGAUUAGAUACCCUGGUAGUCCACGCUGUAAAC
rnacentral:rRNA from 1 species